NNNNNNUUUGGCUAAGAUCAAGUGUAGUAUCUGUUCUUAUCAGUUUAAUAUCUGAUAUGUCCUCUAUUUGAGGACUACAUAUUAAAUGGAUUUUUAGAGCUGGACGAUGGAAGAGGGGCUUGCUCCAGCCACUCCAAGCAUCAACCUGGUGUUGCAGUGCCUCCAGGAAUGGUGCACCUUCC
rnacentral:snRNA from 1 species